rnacentral:lncRNA from 1 species
GUAAGGUGUUUUCCCCCUCUGGCUUCUUUCCAAAUUUUUUCUUUAUCUUUGAUUUUCUGUAAUUUGAAAAUGAUAUGCCUAGGUAUAGGGUUUUUUGGAUGUUUAUUCUGCUUGUUGGUUUCUGAACUUCCUGCAUCUGUAGAUUGGUGCCUGAAAUUAAUUUGGGGAAAUUCCUAGUCAUUAUCGUUUCAAGUUUUUCUUCUCUUCCUUUCUCUCUUCUCCAUCUUGAUUCCCAUUAAAUCUAUAUUAUACCUUUUUUAAUCGUCCCACAGUUGUUGGAUAUUCUAUUCUGUUUUUUUCAGUCUUUGUUCUCUUAGCUUUUCGGUUUUGGAGGUUUCUGUUGAGAUUUCCUCAAGUUCAGAGGUUCUUUUCUCAGCUGUGUUCAGUUUACUAGUAAUCCCAUCAAAGUCAUCUUUUUGUUGCAGUGUUUUUUUUAUUUCUAGCGUUUUCGUGGGGAAGGUUCUUUCUUAAGAUUUCCAUCUUUCUGCUUACAUUGCUUUCUGCUUUUGCAUGCUAUUUUAUCUAUUAGAACCCUUAGCAUAUUCAUCAUAGUUGUUUUAAAUUCUCAGCCUGAUAAUUCCAGUAUCCCUGCCAUGUCUGGUUCCGAUACUUGCUCUGUCUCUUCAAAUUGUGUUUUUCGCCUUUUGGUUUGCCUUGUAAUUUUUUUCUCGAUUGCCAGCUAUGGCAUACCAGGUAAAAGGCCCUGCUGUAAAUAGGCCUUUCGUAAUGCGGUGGUGAGGUGGGGGGAGGGCACGAGUUCGACUGUCCUGGGAUUAGGUCUCUUUCAGUGAGUCUGUGCGUCUGCACUGUGAACUUCACAGGUGUUUUUAAUUUUUCUUAUCCCCUCCUAGUUGGAAGGGGAUGGCUAGAGUGGGCUGGAGUUGGGCAUCUCCUUCCCCCCAGGUGAGCUAGGCUCUGAUAAAUCCCCAGCAGGUUAGGCUCUGGUUAACUAGUUUCCCUGAGGCCAGGUGUUCUUAAGAAGGACAUAGUGCUCUGAUGUAUGUCACAAAGGUUCCUUUCCCCUUCCCCUGCCAGAAGCAGGAGGGGGUUUUUCUCCAACAUAUUGUGGCAAUCUAGUUGAGCUCCUGGAAGUAAAUCUCACAAAACUGUGGUGCCUUGCCGUGACUGGGUCGCCCUCGGGUUUAUAGCUCUCAGUUUUGUCCACACUGAGCCUCCAUCAACUCAUCAAUUACAGCUCUGGCUUUCCUGCCCCGGCCCUGCUUCCUGUGGUGGUUUUAGCUGUGAAUCUCUGCUCUGGAUGAACACGUCUUGUCUUUUCGACUCUGUUCUCAUUGCAACAAACACAGGAAAGGAGAAGAAAGGGACACAGCCCCCGGGCUCACUUGUGAGAUCAGAAAACCAGGUGACCAUUUGUUGGAGGAAACUGUUUCUGGUGCCUGACAUAUUGUUAUUGAAGACUACAUGAUCCUUGCAGUUAUGUGGGAAGGUCUGACAAUCCCGAGAGCCUGAUGAUAAUCUUUAUAUUUCAUACCUUUUUCAAAUUCUGGUCUAUGUCAGUUUUUGUGAUUACAACAAUUUAAAGCAGAAUCACCAUAUGUUGAUAGUAAAACUGCUUCUCUAGUGGAUAAUUUUUACUUCUAAGAUCUGGGACUUGGGCAAAAAGUCUGUUUUCUGCAAAGUAAAGUACUUAAUUUAAGAAAUAUCAUAUUAUUCAGCUUUCAUUCUUCGCAUGGGAAAUUCAUCUAUUCCCCUGAUAACUUCAAGUUGAUUUUCUGAGUAUAUAAACUAGAUGGUGUACUUGGCUAGGGAAGGGGAGCAGAAUUUCAAGAAGUAGUUAAUAUAGGUGUGUAUAGGGGUUCUUUUGUCUCUAAGGUUCUGGAGUUUCUUGCGUCUUUGUUUCUUAUUUUCCUUCUUGAUAAGACCUGCUGUGUGGUUGUUAUGCUUUACUUCUGUGGCACGUUAGGCUCAUAUCUUUGGAGAAUAGUUUACAAUGAAUUUUCACUAUGAAACAUAAAUGAUGGUACAAAACCAAUGCUUUUUCUAAAUUUUUGGCUAAAUUUUCCAGAAAAAGUAUUAUUUUAGUUUUGCCAAAGUGAAGCUCCCAUGUUCUGAUGGCUUCCUGCAUUUUUCCCUGCUGAUUCACAUUUUACCACUAGGAAGGGCUGUGUAUGAACCUGAAAACAUAUAGGUUUCUCUAUGCAAUUCCUUUGUAUAUCACAAAAAGUUUUAAGUAAAUGUAUUUGUUGAGGAUUCCCAUCAUUACCUUUUCUCUGUUCAGAAAACUGCCCAUUUGUUCCAAUUUCUUGUCAUUUUUCAGAUGUAAACAAAUGGUUACCCAAGAAUAACAUUUUUCCCAAAUUAGAAGCAAUGGAUCUUAGGACUCUAGAAAUCAUUUCUUUUAGUAUCUGUCCAAUGGUUGAAUUCAGCUGAAUAUAAGGAUAUCUCAAGGCCUUGGCUCUGAGGCAAACUAUUUACCUUUAGACAGUAUGGUCUGCUAGAGGCGAUGACUGAAGGAGACACUGCCAGAGUUCAUCACAGGUUUUCUUUAAAUAGUUAAAUUCUCUCAUAUUAGGGGGAAAAAACCCUUAGAAAUUAAAUUUGCAUACACUUGUCUGAAUCUAAAAUAAUAUCUAUUGUCAUGGGGUUUAUGAAAAAAUCUCAUUUCUUUGCAGGAUACAAUAUAUUUCUAUGCAGGAAUCUCGUCAUGUCCAAAUUACUCUUUAGAACAAUCUACCUCUUCUCCCUAUUUGGUGAGAUAAAACAGCAUGACGAGGUAUAAACAGCGAAAGGUCUAGAAUAAAGACUAACUUUAUAUCCUACUUUUGCUACUUGCCAAUUCUGGAAAAGUAACCACUCUGAGCCUCAGUUUAUCUUCAAGUAAAUUGUAAAA